UACGUAGGGUGCGAGCGUUGUCCGGAAUUAUUGGGCGUAAAGAGCUCGUAGGCGGUGUGUCACGUCGGCCGUGAAAACCUGCAGCUUAACUGUGGGCGUGCGGUCGAUACGGGCAUCACUGGAGUUCGGCAGGGGAGACUGGAAUUCCUGGUGUAGCGGUGAAAUGCGCAGAUAUCAGGAGGAACACCGGUGGCGAAGGCGGGGUCUCUGGGCCGAUACUGACGCUGAGGAGCGAAAGCGUGGGGAGCGAACAGG
rnacentral:rRNA from 1 species